rnacentral:lncRNA from 1 species
CUAUCAUUAGUAUUUCUAGUCUACCCAAAGAGAGAUGCUGGCAAGAACUAGACACCAGUGGUAUCUAAUCUAAUAAUGCUCUUAUCUUUUUUUAUUAUACGCGUUAAAUAGGAUUUAAAGACAUUCAAGGAAGGUCUGAAUCUUCACUACGUGUAAAAAAUGCCCACUGAACUUACUGAAAACUCCUCAUCCUCCUGAAAGACGUUCUGGUUCAGUGGAUCUGAGGACCGUGUUGCUUCUGCCCUGAAUGAGUUCUUUUCUCCCGGGCUGCAGGGACCACAGAGGUCUUCUUCCUAUUACUUCAUGGACUGUAUGAAUUCCACCCAGCUGGUGACAUCAUGGCAGGUGGUUUGGAGAUGAACUGGUAUCCUGCCCUGUGUUAAAUGUCCUCAGACUGGAGCUCAGAACUUUUGAGUAUUUUCAAAAGGGUCACCGUGUCUCCAGAGAAAUGCUCCCAACAGUCCUAACUGAAGUCAGCACUGAACUGGGCAAAGGACUCAAGAAAAAAAGUUUCCUUCCUCCUCGAUGUGUUGCUCAAAGCACUGCGUGAGACCACACGGAGCAGUAUCUAAGCAUUGAGCAACACUCAGAAGGGCAGCAGGACAAAUGCGUAGCUGCUAAUGACCCCUCUCCUGCCAAUGCUUUCCUCCCUCAGCCCCCUCUAGGGUCACCGAACAGCUGUAAAUACAAGCUGACCACCCUCAAGGAGCUGGGAUGGAGGGAGGUUUUCUCCAGUCUCCAGUUCUGCCUUUGCACCUCUGUGGCCUCUCAAAUGCUCAGCCAGUAUUUUGAGUACACCCAACCUCACCCAGGAGAUAUAUGUCACCCAGAAACAUGUGCUCUCCAGAAAGUCUUCCUGACAUCAUCGGGGCAGUCCUCCUCCACCUCCUCCUCUUCCCAGCAAUUCGUUCUGCAAAUUAAUGCCAUCCAAACAAUCCUCGAGAACUAUCUAGGAAAGGACGAGGACCAAAUUACCAAGCCUUUGGAUCUAAUCCAUGUGGCAUCCCAUCUGUGAGCUCCAGGGAGAUUCAAAGUUGGCCAGUGCUGGAGGCCAAUCAUAUUUAUACCAUUUCCAUAUGGCACCUUUUGAUUGAGACUUGGCAAGCACAUGAUCGGAUUGGAGGAAGACAGAGAGCAAGACGUUGGAACAAGCAGCAGGGGUGGAGCCUGGGACACAAGGUCAGCACAUAGCAAGCCCUUGCUUUGGAGCAGAGGUGGCCGGUUUCCAGGGCAGUGAGUAUUUGAGGCAGUAAUUGUGAUCUUCAGCUUCACUGGUGCAAGUAUCACCUGUGAGAAAGCAGGCAUUGGGUGUGAUUAAUUAGUAUGCUUCUUUAGCAU